CGGUUCACCCUUGGGUGAUGAAAAGGGAAUCGGGUGGAAAUCCCGAACAGAAUCCCGCUGAAAGCGCCUACCCGUAGCCUUUCCCGCUGCUGUGAGUCGUCCUUUAAGGUGCAAACAUAAAGUCACUGAGAUUUUCGGGAAGACGUUUGCGACCAGACGACAAGUCAGAAGACCUGCCGGUUGAUA
rnacentral:ncRNA from 1 species